rnacentral:rRNA from 1 species
UCUUGGUCAUUUAGAGGAAGUAAAAGUCGUAACAAGGUUUCCGUAGGUGAACCUGCGGAAGGAUCAUUAUCGAAUUGGAUUCUCUACCCACACACACAUGUGCACCANCUGUAGGUUGACUCGAAAGAGUGAGACCUAUGUAUUUCUACAUCCACACCUUUAUGUCGUAUGUCUAUGGAAUGAAAUAAAUCCUAUACAACUUUCAGCAACGGAUCUCUUGGUUCUCGCAUCGAUGAAGAACGCAGCGAAUUGCGAUAAGUAAUGUGAAUUGCAGAUUUUCAGUGAAUCAUCGAAUCUUUGAACGCACCUUGCGCUCCUUGGUAUUCCGAGGAGCAUGCCUGUUUGAGUGUCAUUUGAAUUCUCAACCCAUGUCUUGAUCUUGAUCAACAUGGAUUGGACUUGGAGGUUGCUGGUGGUGAAAGCUGUCAGCUCUUCUGAAAUGCAUUAGCGAUGGGUUUCAAGUGCAAGUCAAUCCCAAUCCUUUGGGUUGACACACCAGCUAGCCUUUGAUGUGAUAAUGAUCAUCGUAGUGAAUUUUUGGUAUUGCAUGACUAUCGCUUCUAAUUAUGUGUUAGCUUAGCUACCUUAUGACUUGACCUCAAAUCAGGUAGGACUACCCGCUGAACUUAAGCAUAUCAAUAA